ACUACUCAAGAAAUUACUUAAUUAAAAGCAAUUACCUUGAGCUCAUUCCUCCAAGUAAGUUUUUCAAUUAAUCAUGGCCAAGGCUAGCAACAAUUCAAUCAACUGCUACUUCAACGUAGCCUUAGUUCUCACUUUUCUUCUCAUUCUGACUCCAUCGCUGGGAAGAGUAUUCAUAUCUAAUAGCGAAGCGUCUCAGGCCGUUCCAACUUGUACUACAGUUUAUAAUGUAGAUACUGGCGACACUUGUGACAGUAUUAUCAAGUCUUUCGAUCUGAAAGUAGAGCUGUUCAGUUCUUUAAAUCCAAACCUUAACUGCGACGAUCUUUUUGUGGGUGAAUAUCUCUGCCUCAAUGGCACCUUAUCUACUUGAAUCCAAUUCAUCAUGAUAGUCACGCAUCAAGAUGUUGUAUUAAAUUAUAAGUGUAUGCAUCUCUAGACUCUAGUCUUAGAUGCAAAUUAGAUCCCAGUUCAGUAAUGAGAUCUACUACUAUACAUUUGUAUCCCUUCAAUUUAAUCCAAUAUGGUUAAACAAAGAAACUUACUUGGUUAUGGUGUA